CCAGCGUUUUAUCAGCAGGAACGAGCGUUUCAGAGAGCCCACUCCGCUGCAGUGUGGAAGAUGGAUCUGAGUGGAGAGAGACUCAGGGCGUGUUGUUACCUGCCGCUGACCCUGGUUUAUGAGGACGGCGCUUCGGCACCUGAACAGGCAACAUAAGCAGAAAGGGAGUCUAACCUAUUUUCCAGCAACAUCUCAUUUGUAAAUCAAAAUUUCCAAAAUUCUUCUAUCCCUACACCUGGCCUCUGAGGGGGAUUGAAGAGGGAAAAGAUUGGGGUCCCAGGACAUCCAGGUGCCCAGGGAAGUUGGUUCAGUAAGGCUGCUGAGAUGGGGGCCCAGCCUGCAGGGAGGAAGGCGGAGGAGGAACCCCGUACUUGGCGUGUCUGACAUCCGCAGAUGCCUCAGACCACCCUGAGCACCACUGCGGGACGGCGCCCAGCAAGGGCAAGGCCACAGAGAGGCUUCCUUCCUGUGUUCAGGUCAGGUGCCUGUAGUGAAGACUCGGUCAGUUGUGAAAUGCCUCUCCCUCUCCUCUGCUUCCUUCCAUGUCCUGUCUGCCUCUUUCUCUUUUCAUGAUUUUCCUUGUUCCAUCACACACGGGAUACACAACCGCAUUUUCAGGUUAAGACGUUGAGACCAUACAUGAUUGAGAUUACAAAGCAAAGCGUCAGCACCCUACCGUGCCUCCACCUCCCCCACAAUCCCCCUUUCCUCCUCCCAGGUGGAAUCACUGCCAGAGUUUGGUAUGCACAUCUCAUCCCCGUAGCUGGGGGAAGUUCCUGCAUUUACACAUAUGUGAAUACACACGUCUGCCCAGUAUAUACAAAUACGGCCUUCUUACCUAUAUGCCUACGUGUACAUGUACGUACGUGUAACUUUUGCGAUGUUUUGAUGUAAUCGAGGCCAUACCAUAAGUGUUCUGCAACUUGCUAUUUGCGUGUGAUGUGUUUGGGGGAACCGUCAAUCACAGAACACACAGGUCUACACGGAGCCCUGUCUCGUCCUAACAGCUGCACGUUCCAAUCUGCAGAUUUCUGCAGGUUUUUUGACCUCUCCUUAUGGACAG